rnacentral:rRNA from 1 species
CUGAGAAACGGCUACCACAUCCAAGGAAGGCAGCAGGCGCGCAAAUUACCCAAUCCCGACACGGGGAGGUAGUGACAAUAAAUACUGAUACAGGGCUCUUUUGGGUCUUGUAAUUGGAAUGAGUACAAUUUAAAUCCCUUAACGAGGAACAAUUGGAGGGCAAGUCUGGUGCCAGCAGCCGCGGUAAUUCCAGCUCCAAUAGCGUAUAUUAAAGUUGUUGCAGUUAAAAAGCUCGUAGUUGAACCUUGGGCCUGGCUGGCCGGUCCGCCUCACCGCGUGUACUGGUCCGGCCGGGCCUUUCCUUCUGGAGAGCCCCAUGCCCUUCACUGGGUGUGCGGGGGAACCAGGACUUUUACUUUGAAAAAAUUAGAGUGUUCAAAGCAGGCCUUUGCUCGAAUACGUUAGCAUGGAAUAAUAGAAUAGGACGUGUGGUUCUAUUUUGUUGGUUUCUAGAACCGCCGUAAUGAUUAAUAGGGAUAGUCGGGGGCAUCAGUAUUCAAUUGUCAGAGGUGAAAUUCUUAGAUUUAUUGAAGACUAACUACUGCGAAAGCAUUUGCCAAGGAUGUUUUCAUUAAUCAGUGAACGAAAGUCAGGGGAUCGAAGACGAUCAGAUACCGUCGUAGUCUUGACCGUAAACUAUGCCGACUAGGGAUCGGGCGGUGUUUCUAUCUUGACCCGCUCGGCACCUUACGAGAAAUCAAAG